AACGAACGCUGGCGGCAGGCCUAACACAUGCAAGUCGAACGAAGUCUUCGGACUUAGUGGCGCACGGGUGAGUAACACGUGGGAAUAUACCUUUCGGUGGGGAAUAACAGCGGGAAACUGCUGCUAAUACCGGAUGAUGUCUUCGGACCAAAGAUUUAUCGCCCAGGGAUGAGCCCGCGUAGGAUUAGCUUGUUGGUGAGGUAAAAGCUCACCAAGGCGACGAUCCUUAGCUGGUCUGAGAGGAUGAUCAGCCACACUGGGACUGAGACACGGCCCAGACUCCUACGGGAGGCAGCAGUGGGGAAUAUUGGACAAUGGGCGAAAGCCUGAUCCAGCAAUGCCGCGUGAGUGGUGAAGGCCUUAGGGUUGUAAAGCUCUUUUACCCGGGAUGAUAAUGACAGUACCGGGAGAAUAAGCCCCGGCUAACUCCGUGCCAGCCGCCGCUGUAAUAC
rnacentral:rRNA from 1 species